rnacentral:lncRNA from 1 species
AGCUGUACUCCAUGAUCCCCUUCACGUGGAGAUUCUGAAAGUGGGUGGCCUCCGCGGUGGCUUCAGAGUGGCUCUCCCUCAACCUGCGGAGUUCGCCAUCCAUCUUCUUCGACCUCUUCAUCAAAUGAUGAACUUCCUUCUUCAGACGCUGGAUCGUGGACUUCAGCGGGAUCCCCCGUGGUAGGGGAAGCACUACGGUAGGACACUGCCAUCGGGAGAUAAAAGUGUCAAGGCACGUCCCAUUGCAGAAAGAAAAACAAAAAGGAGGAGG